rnacentral:rRNA from 1 species
UACGUAGGGUGCGAGCGUUAAUCGGAAUUACUGGGCGUAAAGCGUGCGCAGGCGGUUCGUUAAGACAGAUGUGAAAUCCCCGGGCUUAACCUGGGAACUGCAUUGGUGACUGCAUCGCUCGAGUAUGGCAGAGGGGGGUAGAAUUCCACGUGUAGCAGUGAAAUGCGUAGAGAUGUGGAGGAAUACCGAUGGCGAAGGCAGCCCCCCUGGGUCAAUACUGACGCUCAUGCACGAAAGCGUGGGGAGCAAACAGG